AGUAGCGAAGGUCAUGAUCUCACACUGCCAAGAAAAGCCUCUAGCCAGGUGAUGGUGCCCGUACCGCAAACCGACACAGGUAGGCGAGAAGAGAAUUCUAAGGCGCGCGGAAGAACUCUCGUUAAGGAACUCGGCAAAAUGACCCCGUAACUUCGGGAGAAGGGGUGCCCCGGUAGUGUGAAUAGCACGAGGGGGCCGCAGUGAAAAGGCCCAAGCGACUGUUUAGCAAAAACACAGGUCUGUGCGAAGCCGUAAGGCGAAGUAUACGGGCUGACGCCUGCCCGGUGCUGGAAGGUUAAGGGGAGCGGUUAGGAGCAAUCCGAAGCUGUGAACCGAAGCCCCAGUAAACGGCGGCCGUAACUAUAACGGUCCUAAGGUAGCGAAAUUCCUUGUCAGGUAAAUUCUGACCCGCACGAAUGGCGUAACGACUUGGGCGCUGUCUCAACGAGAGAUCCGGUGAAAUUUUAAUACCUGUGAAGAUGCAGGUUACCCGCGACAAGACGGAAAGACCCCAUGGAGCUUUACUGCAGCUUGAUAUUGAAUUUGGGUACGAUCUGUACAGGAUAGGUGGGAGCCUUUGAAACGUGAGCGCCAGCUUGCGUGGAGGCACCGUUGGGAUACCACCCUGAUCGUAUCUAGGUUCUAACCUGGUACCGUAAUCCGGUGCGGGGACAGUGUCAGGUGGGCAGUUUGACUGGGGCGGUCGCCUCCUAAAGAGUAACGGAGGCGCCCAAAGGUUCCCUCAGAAUGGUUGGAAAUCAUUCGAAGAGUGCAAAGGCAUAAGGGAGCUUGACUGCGAGACCUACAAGUCGAGCAGGGACGAAAGUCGGGCUUAGUGAUCCGGUGGUACCGCAUGGAAGGGCCAUCGCUCAACGGAUAAAAGCUACCCUGGGGAUAACAGGCUUAUCUCCCCCAAGAGUCCACAUCGACGGGGAGGUUUGGCACCUCGAUGUCGGCUCAUCGCAUCCUGGGGCUGAAGUAGGUCCCAAGGGUUGGGCUGUUCGCCCAUUAAAGCGGUACGCGAGCUGGGUUCAGAACGUCGUGAGACAGUUCGGUCCCUAUCUGUCGUGGGCGUAGGAAAUUUGAGAGGAGCUGUCCUUAGUACGAGAGGACCGGGAUGGACGUACCGCUGGUGUACCAGUUGUUCCGCCAGGAGCACCGCUGGGUAGCUAUGUACGGAAGGGAUAAGCGCUGAAAGCAUCUAAGCGUGAAGCCCCCCUCAAGAUGAGAUUUCCCAGUAUGUAAGACCCCUUGAAGACGACGAGGUAGAUAGGCUGGGGGUGGAAGUGCAG
rnacentral:rRNA from 1 species